CGGGACACGUGGUAUCCUGUCUGAAUAUGGGGGGACCAUCCUCCAAGGCUAAAUACUCCUGACUGACCGAUAGUGAACCAGUACCGUGAGGGAAAGGCGAAAAGAACCCCGGCGAGGGGAGUGAAAAAGAACCUGAAACCGUGUACGUACAAGCAGUGGGAGCACGCUUAGGCGUGUGACUGCGUACCUUUUGUAUAAUGGGUCAGCGACUUAUAUUCUGUAGCAAGGUUAACCGAAUAGGGGAGCCGAAGGGAAACCGAGUCUUAACUGGGCGUUAAGUUGCAGGGUAUAGACCCGAAACCCGGUGAUCUAGCCAUGGGCAGGUUGAAGGUUGGGUAACACUAACUGGAGGACCGAACCGACUAAUGUUGAAAAAUUAGCGGAUGACUUGUGGCUGGGGGUGAAAGGCCAAUCAAACCGGGAGAUAGCUGGUUCUCCCCGAAAGCUAUUUAGGUAGCGCCUCGUGAAUUCAUCUCCGGGGGUAGAGCACUGUUUCGGCAAGG
rnacentral:rRNA from 1 species